CCCUUAGAUGUUCUGGGCCGCACGCGCGCUACACUGACGAAUGCAACGAGCUUAUAACCUUGGCCGAAGGGUCUGGGUAAUCUCCAAAUUUCGUCGUGAUGGGGAUAGAUUAUUGCAAUUAUUAAUCUUCAACGAGGAAUGCCUAGUAAGCGCAAGUCAUCAGCUUGCGUUGAUUACGUCCCUGCCCUUUGUACACACCGCCCGUCGCUCCUACCGAUUGAAUGGUCCGGUGAAGCGUUCGGACCGUGGCCUUUGGACGGUUCGCCGUCUGUUGGCUGCGGGAAGUUCGUUAAACCUUAUCAUUUAGAGGAAGGAGAAGUCGUAACA
rnacentral:rRNA from 1 species